rnacentral:lncRNA from 1 species
GGUUUCCAGCGCUCCGCCUUCCCCUUAAGCGCAUAAAGGUGAAACGUCGGAAACUGGACAGCCACCGAGACACCUGCAGCUGCUGGUGAGCAGGAGAAGCACUGGAGACGCGGACAGCGCCAUCCGGCUGAGGGACUCGGAGCAGAGUUCGGCUUCAGCACCAGGAUUUCGGACAGCUCCCAGCGGGUCACGAAGAGACUAGGCUUCAGCACCCGGCCCCUGGCAGUGCCAAGCUCUCAACACCCAGCUUCAGGGAUCGCCUUGGGGUCUGUUCUGGCGGAGAGUGUACAGGGAAGGAACCUCUUAAUGGUUCUUGGCAUUUGUCCUUUACGGAGGGAUUUUUUUUUUCUUUUUUGAAACAGGGUUUUUUUGUGUGUACCUCUAGCUGUUCUGAAACUCACUAUGUAGACUAGGCUGGCUUCAAACUCACAGAGUACAGGCGAAGCAUUUGGUCAACGAGAUGUUAUGAGUGCCUCUGGGUGUACUAAUUUCCAAAGUGAAGUGGUGAGGGGAAAGCCAGCCUCAAUCCAACUUUAAAUCUCAAGUUCUUUUUAUUUUUAAAAAGAGUUUUUCUCUCAAUUAUAUAUAUAAUUAUUAUUAUUUUAAAACACUGUAGACCAAGCUUUGAACUCCUUGUGUAGCCAAAGAUGAUCUUGAAGUUCUCAUCCUCCUGCCUCUACUCCCUGCGUGCUGGGGUGACAAGUGUGUGCUCCUCGUGCCUGGAACAAUAAAUCCCACGUUGGUGAUGU